CCCUUAGAUGUUCUGGGCCGCACACGCGCUACACUGAAGGAGGCAGCGUGUACUCCUGGAUCGAAAGAUUUGGGUAACCCGCGAAUCUCCUUCGUGCUAGGGAUUGAGGUUUGCAAUUAUCCUUCAUGAACGAGGAAUUCCCAGUAAGUGCAAGUCAUAAGCUUGCGCUGACUACGUCCCUGCCCUUUGUACACACCGCCCGUCGCUACUACCGAUUGAAUGAUUUAGUGAGGAUUUCGGACUGGGACCGAUGCGGCUUUCGGGCUGCGUCGGUAUUCUGGAAAGAUGUCCAAACUGUAUCAUUUAGAGGAAGUAAAAGUCGUAACA
rnacentral:rRNA from 1 species